rnacentral:rRNA from 1 species
UUGGAGGGCAAGUCUGGUGCCAGCAGCCGCGGUAAUUCCAGCUCCAAUAGCGUAUAUUAAAGUUGUUGCAGUUAAAAAGCUCGUAGUUGAAUUUCGGAGUUUGUCGGUCGGUCGGGCUUCACUGUCCGCACUGGCCUGAUGGAUUCCUACCUUCUGAAUAACCAGCAUGCUAUUAAGUUAGUGCGUUGGGGAAGCAGAGCUAUUACCUUGAAAAAAUUAGAGUGUUUAAAGCAGGCUUAUGCUUGAAUAGAUUAGCAUGGAAUAAUGAAAUAGGACGUUCGAUCCUAUUUUGUUGGUUUCUAGGAUUGACGUAAUGAUUAAUAGGGAUAGUUGGGGGCAUUAGUAUUCAAUUGUCAGAGGUGAAAUUCUUGGAUUUAUUGAAGGCUAACUACUGCGAAAGCAUUUGCCAAGGAUGUUUUCAUUAAUCAAGAACGAAAGUUAGGGGAUCGAAGACGAUCAGAUACCGUCGUAGUCUUAACCAUAAACUAUGCCGACUAGGGAUCGGACGAUGUUAAUUUUUUAAUGACUCGUUCGGCGCCUUACGGGAAAC